UAGAGUUCUUUUCACUAAUCUUUCCUUUACAGGUCUCUUCCCAUCCUCACCCGCUUCCCCCUGCAAGAGACUCAAUAAAAUCCUAGAGUAAGCUGCUUGGAACUCAAAUGAAGCAAAUGGAUCUAAGAGGCUCAGGAAUGGACUAUCUUGGAUGCCGUACUGUACCACCCAAAUCGUCUUCUCCAGGAUGGAAGCCCUUGUACCCCCAGUUGCUGGGAGUGGGUCAAUAGCUCUCAGCUAAGCCUUCUCCAGUUCUUGUCUUCGGAUGAAUAGAGCCACCUUGUCCUUUCCCAGGAGUAGCUAACUAACAUCCAAUGCCUGGUUGUUGUGGGGAUAUAAAGGUCUGUCCUCUCAUCUAAAUUUGAAUCUGAAGCAACUCUGAAUCUGUCUCCAGAGAUACCUUUAAGAUUAGCUGAGGGCUCUGUUGUGAUUACUUCACAGUUUACCUUCUCCUUUUGCCCUGUUUUACUUCCUUCAUGUCCCCAUAGGUUCUGUUCUAGAGAUUACUCCCCAUUAAGUAUUGUACACUCCAUCUCUGACUUAGAUUUGCUUCUCUGGGGCUGGGGCUGGAGCUCAGUGGUAGAGCACCACAAUGUGUGAGGAGGCAAUGGGUUCGAUUAUCAGCACCAUAUAUAAAUAUAUAAAAUAAAGGUUCAUUGACAACUAAACAAUAUUUUAAAAAAUUGCUUUUCU
rnacentral:lncRNA from 1 species